rnacentral:tRNA from 1 species
ACAUUGUUGGUUCAGUGGUAGAAUUCUCGCCUUCCAUGUGGGAGACUCAGGUUCGACUCCUGGGCAAUACA